rnacentral:rRNA from 1 species
CAAUAGCGUAUAUUAAAGUUGUUGCGGUUAAAAAGCUCGUAGUUGGAUUUCUGCUGAGGACGAUCGGUCCGCCCACUGGGUGAGUAUCUGGCUCGGCCUUGGCAUCUUCUUGGAGAACGUUGCUGCACUUGACUGUGUGGUGCGGUAUCCAGGACUUUUACUUUGAGGAAAUUAGAGUGUUUCAAGCAGGCGCACGCCUUGAAUACAUUAGCAUGGAAUAAUAAGAUAGGACCUUGGUUCUAUUUUGUUGGUUUCUAGAGCUGAGGUAAUGAUUAAUAGGGAUAGUUGGGGGCAUUCGUAUUUAACUGUCAGAGGUGAAAUUCUCGGAUUUGUUAAAGACGGACUACUGCGAAAGCAUUUGCCAAGGAUGUUUUCAUUGA